GCCAGGUGUGGUGGCUCAUGCCUGUAAUCCCAGCAGCUUGGGAGGCUGAGGCAGGAGGAUCUGAAGUUCAAUAUCAGCAUCAUAUUGAGGCCCUAAGCAACUCAGUGAGACCCUGUCUAUA
rnacentral:sRNA from 1 species